rnacentral:tRNA from 1 species
GGUUGUAACUCAGUGGUAGAGCGUUCGCUUUGGAUGCGAAAAUCCCGGAGUUCAACCCUCCGCAAUUCCA